rnacentral:rRNA from 1 species
UUGGAGGGCAAGUCUGGUGCCAGCAGCCGCGGUAAUUCCAGCUCCAAUAGCGUAUAUUAAAGUUGUUGCAGUUAAAAAGCUCGUAGUUGAAUUUCGGGAUCAGAUUGUCGGUCGUGCCUCGGUACGCACUGGCAUUAUUGGUUCCUACCUUCUGAAGAACCGCGAUGUCAUUAAUUUGGUGUCGUGGGGAAUCAGGACUGUUACUUUGAAAAAAUUAGAGUGUUUAAAGCAGGCGCACGCUUGAAUACAUUAGCAUGGAAUAAUGAAAUAGGACGUUUGAUUCUAUUUUGUUGGUUUCUAGGAUCGACGUAAUGAUUAAUAGGGAUAGUUGGGGGCAUUAGUAUUCAAUUGUCAGAGGUGAAAUUCUUGGAUUUAUUGAAGACUAACUACUGCGAAAGCAUUUGCCAAGGAUGUUUUCAUUAGUCAAGAACGAAAGUUAGGGGAUCGAAGACGAUCAGAUACCGUCGUAGUCUUAACCAUAAACUAUGCCGACUAGGAAUCGGAUGAUGUUAAUUUUUUAAUGACUCAUUCGGCGCCUUACGGGAAAC